CUGCUUGGCUUUCUCUUCAUUCGCGUACAAAUCUUUUGCCUUUUACUAAAGAUUUCCGUGGAGAGGAAGUUUGAAGAGUUCUCGGUAUUGUGGGCAGCCGUGGUCUAAAGGUUA